rnacentral:rRNA from 1 species
AUUGAACGCUGGCGGCAGGCCUAACACAUGCAAGUCGAACGAGUGGCGGCCGGGUGAGUAAUGUCUGGGAAACUGCCCGAUGGAGGGGAAUACCUACUGGAAACGGUAGCAAAUACCGCAUACCAUCGGAUGUGCCCAGAUGUGAUUAGCUAGUAGGUGGGGUAACGGCUCACCUGGGCGACGAUCCCUAGCUGGUCUGAGAGGAGGACCAGCCACACUGGAACGGAGACACGGGCCAGACUCCUACGGGCGGCAGCAGUGGGGAAUAUUGGACAAGGGGCGCAAGCCUGACGCAGCCAUGCCGCGUGUAUGAAGAAGGCCUUCGGGUUGUAAAGUACUUUCAGCGAGGAGGCGUUACUCGCAGAAGAAGCACCGGCUAACUCCGUGCCAGCAGCCGCGGUAAUUC